rnacentral:rRNA from 1 species
UACGUAGGCAGCAAGCGUUGUUCGGAUUUACUGGGCGUAAAGAGUGCGUAGGUGGUGCCCUAAGUCUGUUGUGAAAUCUCCCGGCUUAACUGGGAGGGUGCGGUGGAAACUGGGGUGCUUGAGUGUGGGAGAGGUAAGCGGAAUUCCUGGUGUAGCGGUGAAAUGCGUAGAUAUCAGGAGGAACACCGGUGGUGUAGACGGCUUACUGGACCACGACUGACAUUGAGGCACGAAAGCGUGGGUAGCAAACAGG